UACGGGGGGGCAAGCGUUGUUCGGAAUUACUGGGCGUAAAGGGCUCGUAGGCGGCCAACUAAGUCCGACGUGAAAUCCCAAGGCUUAACCUUGGAACUGCAUCCGAUACUGGAUGGCUUGAAUUCGGGAGAGGAUGCAGAAUUCCAGGUGUAGCGGUGAAAUGCGUAGAUAUCAGGAGGAACACCGGUGGCGAAGGCGGGUCUCUGGGCCGAUACUGACGCUGGAGGAGCGAAAGCGUGGGGAGCGAACAGGA
rnacentral:rRNA from 1 species